AGGAUAAACGCUGGCGGCGUGCCUAACACAUGCAAGUCGAACGUCUCUUUCUUCGGGAAGAGGAGUGGCGGACGGGUGAGGAACACGUGGGAACCUGCCCUUUAGUGAGGAAUACCGGCGAGAAAUCGCCGACAAGACCGCAUAGCCCUCUUUGAUGAGAGUCAAAGAAGGAAAGCUUCGCAAGAGGCGCUAGAGGAGGGGCCUGCGUCCGAUUAGCUAGUUGGUGGGGUAAGAGCCUACCAAGGCGUCGAUCGGUAGCUGGUCUGAGAGGACGAUCAGCCACACUGGGAUUGAGAACGGCCCAGACUCCUACGGGGGCAGCAGUGAGGAAUUUUCGGCAAUGGGGGAAACCCUGACCGAGCAACGCCGCGUGCAGGAAGACGGCCUUCGGUUGUAACUGCUUUUCUCUGGACGAGAGCGGACGGUACCGAGAGGAAGAAGCCCGGCUAACGUACGUGCCAGCAGCCGC
rnacentral:rRNA from 1 species